rnacentral:rRNA from 1 species
GAUGAACGCUGGCGGCGUGCCUAAUACAUGCAAGUCGAGCGAACGGACGAGAAGCUUGCUUCUCUGAUGUUAGCGGCGGACGGGUGAGUAACACGUGGAUAACCUACCUAUAAGACUGGGAUAACUUCGGGGAACCGGAGCUAAUACCGGAUAAUAUUUUGAACCGCAUGGUUCAAAAGUGAAAGACGGUCUUGCUGUCACUUAUAGAUGGAUCCGCGCUGCAUUAGCUAGUUGGUAAGGUAACGGCUUACCAAGGCAACGAUGCAUAGCCGACCUGAGAGGGUGAUCGGCCACACUGGAACUGAGACACGGUCCAGACUCCUACGGGAGGCAGCAGUAGGGAAUCUUCCGCAAUGGGCGAAAGCCUGACGGAGCAACGCCGCGUGAGUGAUGAAGGUCUUCGGAUCGUAAAACUCUGUUAUUAGGGAAGAACAUAUGUGUAAGUAACUGUGCACAUCUUGACGGUACCUAAUCAGAAAGCCACGGCUAACUACGUG